rnacentral:rRNA from 1 species
GAUGAACGCUGGCGGUAUGCUUAACACAUGCAAGUCGAACGGACUCUUCGGAGUUAGUGUCGUACGGGUUAGUAACCCGUGAGAAUCUGGACUUGGGUUCGGGACAACCACUGGAAACGGUGGCCUAUGCCGGAUGUGCCGUGAUGUCAAAGAGAAAUUGCCUGAACAUGAGCCCGCGUUUGAUGAGCGAGUUGGUGAGGUAAAGGCACACCAAGGCAGCGAUCAGUAGCUGGUCUGAGAGGACGACCGGCCACGCCGGGAAUGCGACACAGCCCAGAGUCAUACGGGAGGAAGCAGUGAGGAAUUUUGCGCAAUGGGCGAAAGCGUGACGAAGCAAUACCGCGUGAGGGAAGAAGGCUCUUGGGUAGUAAACCUCUUUACGUAAGGAAGAACAACAUGACGGUACCUAAGGAGUCAGCCACGGCUAACUCCGUG